GGCCGGUUAGCUCAGUUGGUUCGAGUGUGGUGCUGAUAACGCUAAGGUCUCGGGUUCGAUCCCCUCACUGGCCA
rnacentral:tRNA from 1 species